rnacentral:rRNA from 1 species
CAGUAGGGAAUCUUCCACAAUGGGCGCAAGCCUGAUGGAGCAACACCGCGUGAGUGAAGAAGGGUUUCGGCUCGUAAAGCUCUGUUGUUAAAGAAGAACACGUAUGAGAGUAACUGUUCAUACGUUGACGGUAUUUAACCAGAAAGUCACGGCUAACUACGCGCCAG